rnacentral:lncRNA from 1 species
CCUUUGUCAUCAUCCGCGGCAAAAAGCCCAACCCAGGUCCAUCUGAAAUGCUGUAGUAACUGCACAAUUCCUUUGUGCUGCUGGGCUUCAUUGGGGACCAUCUGGUACAAGAAUGGGAAUAGAAUUUCUGCACUUUGUAAAGGUAAAAAUGAUCCAUAAGUGAGCUGUAAUAAAAUCCAUGAAUAUUUCUCAGACAGAUUACAAGAAAAUAGUAAAUCAUUACUUUGGAGUUGGUCCUGUAGGUCAUCUAGUUCUAUAUCCUUUUGAAAACACGAAUCACAGUUUCUGCAACAAAUAGCUGUUUCAUUUGUUUUAUAAUUGAAGAACGUUUAGUCCGAAUUUUGAACCCUAAACAAGUACUACAUUUGCAGCAAUAGAAGCUUUGUCCUCUUCGAUGUGGCAACUGCUUAAGUCUUUGAAGUGUGUUGUAAUGUUGCACCUUGGACUCAAUUUCAAGAGACUGAACGUACCAAUUUCUUUCAACCUUUCCUUAUAUGAUAUGUUUUCCAUACCCCAAUGUCUCUAUGAAGGCCAUGUCCCAUACUGACCCUGUUCAAGCUGCCUGUCUAAAUAGUGUAUUUGUACCGUGAUGAUGCCUAAGCCUGUUAGAGGUGGAAAUAGUUGUGUGUUCUCUGGGUGUAAAAACUGCUUGCUCUUGUGUUUCUGGAAUAUAAUGGAAUGUUCAAAGGUAAGAGUCACAUCUCUUGAUCCCUGCAAUCUUUUGCCUCUGUUCCCGCACCCCUGACAUUAAUCCCUAGAAGUUUCCAUAAAGUGAAAAAGUGUUCCUGCCCACCCCCUGCCCAUGAUCCAAAAGACUGCAGACACAUUUUCCUUUAAUCAUGAUCGUGUACCACUAUUGUAAAAAUAAAUCCAUACCCCUAUGCACACAGUUUACCUGUGGUGUCUUGUGGAUUGCUGAAAUGAUGGCCACGUUGGCAGAGAUUUCAGAGAUGCAUCCUCCAACAACAGCUAUCAAAUUGUUCUGAUUCUGACACUUGAAGUUAGGAUAAAAUCUUUGCUGUUUAGAAAGCAGACUUAGAGUGGCCUUAUACGUCAUCCUAGCAGUGUAGUAGCUAUUAAGAAUGUGGAUUCCCAGAGAAAUGUUUGGUAAGAUGUUGGGGUUUUCAUUUAUCUCUUUUACAGCAAAGGCUAAGGCCAGGAUGUGCUGGUAGUUCUUGGGCACUGAACUGUAAUGUAAGUUACAGCUAUUUCAUAAAUCAACAGUGACAGAAGCAAUAAAAGCACAUUUGAAUUAUUCAUUUGUCAUCUGUAUCUGUUCAAGACUACAGUGAAGAAAACAUACCUCAAAGUAUAAUGGGGGUGGGGGAAUAUCUCAAGUGAAGAACUAAAUGCUCAAAAUGUUUUGGGGUCAUGCUUUUUAUUAAUAAACUGAGGAAAAGGGGGAAAGGACAUGGUGUCUUACAUAGGUUCUCCAAUCAUAUUCUGUGUAGGCUGUUCCAGGAAAGAAAGUACAUUAUACAAGAAGAAAACUUGAGAAACAAUCCCACCAAUCACAAGGUCCCCUGCCUGGUAGAAUUCAUGAGGAAUAGGAAGAGGAUCAUCACGUAUGCUGCAAUUAAUGAAAUGUGACUUGCAUACAGUAUGACACAACAGUAUAAGCAGCAACACCAUCACUGUCAUGAUCCUGUUGGCAAAAUGACCCCACCAAAUCUCAGUUCGCAUAGUACCCUCUAUAUGUUGCAUUGCAUUUGCUACAGCGUCAGUCAAAUCGUAGAUAAUCCUCUGGUUGCACUGAUUUACAGCUUGGCUCGUUAUGGAAUUUGGGUGCCAAUACCCUUGUGUUCUAGUUCAGGGCUUCUCAAAUUGUUGUUUGUGGACCACCAGUGGUCUGCUUGCUUAGUUCAGGCUGUCCACAGCAUGUCUGUAAAGAGCAAUUAGAAUUCUAUAGAAUUCAUGCUGUAAUGCAAUAAAAUACAGGAUUCAAAAUAAAAGAAGCAAUAGCAUACCAUUUAAAAUUACACAGCCUGCAAAGUGGUCAGCAAAGAACCUCAACAAUUUUUAUGUUCUCCAUGGCAGGACCACUGUCCUAUUUAAUAUUGUUUAUAUGUUCUCUGUGUGAGCUGGAUAAAUUAGUGGAAUGUGACUCCCACUGAUAUCAGUGGGUCUCAUAUAGUCUAGAUCCAAGUCUUUAUCUUCUCACUUUAUUUUGUAUGGUUGUUUUGUUUUUGUUUUUAGAAAAAAAGAAUAAAUCAGCUUGUGGAAAUAUAUCCACUUAUAUCCAUAUAAGUAAGAGAUUUUUAACAGAAGAGUGACAGAGCCCUGCCUCUACCUAGAUCUAAUUCUGAAGAAUACAAGUGUUUUAUAGCUUUUCUUCAGACACUUGCUAACAUGCACUGAAUGUCAAUUGCAUAAACCAGUAAUUUUGACAGGUAUGAUUAUCAUUCCCCAGUGUGUUAUUGAUGUGAUGUUCUAUCAUGAACAACAAAACUGAUAGAAUAUUUCCUCCCCAUUCUUCUUUUUUGCAUCAUACAUAUUAUUAUUAUUAUUAUUAUUAUUAUUAUUAUUAUUAUUAUUAUUUUGCUUGAGGGAUAAUAAGUAGGGAUAAUAAGUAGCUAGUCUUGUACAGCUGGUAGAUCCAUAUCUGACCAGUACUAGGUUCAGCUUCAUACAUGGGUCAUUUAUAUUUGGGAUAACUGGAAAGCCAUGUCUGGGGAAAGGGAGAGUCACAACUUGUUGUCUUGAUAGAUAUAGUUCUCUCAACAGAUCAUUCCCAAAUAUUGUUUGCCCCAUUUAAUUUUACUGAUAGUUAAUUUAAUUAGUAAGAUUCUUUACCAAUGCAGUACUUAAAAUGUUCAUAAUUUUAGCAUAAUGCCGGUUGGUGGUAUCUGUUUCCUGGCCGAAGUGGCUGGGAGCAGGUUGCGUAAUAUGAAUUUCAGGGCCCUGCAAAAAUAUGUUUCAUGUCUUUUGACUCAGGCUAGUGACGAGCAGAGGCUCUGCUACAUUUUAAGCCAAGCUCGUUUAUCAUCUUUGCUGCCUAUGAUCCUUUGUUCUGCUCCCUGCGGGCAGGGAAGGUCCACAGAAGUUAUAUUACAGGAAUUUAAUUUUGAAGUUGCCAAUGCAUAGAUCACAGUAUCUAGGCUACUGGAAUAGUUAUAUCCAGUUGGCCCGAUGAAGAAGUUUUAAGGUGCUCCUUGCUGCUUACAUCACUUGGGCUUUCCAUUACAGAGAUGGAUCCACAACACCCCCAGACUUUGUACUUGUUCCUUCAGAAGGAGUACAACCCCCUCAGAAGAGGUAAAUCUCCCAAUCUCUAAACUUGGGAACUGAUAAACCACUGUGCCUCUGCCCUUCCAGGAUUUAACUUCUGAUAUUUGGCCUUCAGUCAGCCCACCACUGCAGCCAGAUACCUUUUUGGGGUCUGACUGGCAACUGCUGACUCUGAUGUAACAGUGGAAUAGAGCUGAGUUCCAGCAACACACUGAUGACUCCUUUCCACAUACGCCUUCUCCCUCUCAACCUUACUUAGCACCCCCUAAUUGGUGGAAGCUUACAAAACUGGCACUGGAUAUUUGUAAAGUAUUCGUGUAACCACCCACCCCCACCCAGAAUUUUAGACUAUAGUUCUGUGCUCUAGCAUAUAGCCAACAUACGAAUGACAACAGCGUUUGUUGCUGUUCCCUUGCCUCACCACUGGGAGAAGGUGAAAACCCAGACCUGUUGAGUUCUCUCCUCACAGAUCAACUUGUUUAUCCUUCAAGGAAGGCCUAACUCUCUCUUUUUGUGCUCUUACAGUUACUUCACUGCAACCCUCUUCUCCUCUCUCAUUGUCAUAACUUCUAUUACCUACCCUCUCUUUUGCCCCCACCUUUCUCCCUCUUUUUGUUUGGUCAAUAUCCAAGUCAGAUCCUCUUAUGCCUUCUCCUGGCUGGUCUAUUCCUCCUGUCUCUGGACAGCAUUCCUCAACCUUGAGUGUCAUUUUAUCUCCCAGCUGCAUUUUUAUCUCCCAACUAAAAAUAAAAUUUGAUUCUCAUACUCGACCACUGCAACUCCAAGUUGCCAGGCUUGGUGUUUGCGUGUUCCUCCUCUUUAGAAACUCCUUGAAUCCACAAUGGCUACUGUCCCCCUUCACAUAUCAGGGAGGAGAGGGAAGAAACCAACAAGAACCAUUCCAGUUGAUAUAGAGUCCUGCUCUGGUACAUUAUUUUUACAUACCUUGCAGUCUUUGGGGUCUUUCCUCUCUGAAUUACUUCAAACAACUCUCCUCAGAACUCUACUCAAAGAAAGCCCCUCCACCUCAUAUGGCAGUCCCUAAAAGACAAAUGGGACUGUGCUCUGGAAACCCCCAAAGUGAAUUUUGAGUAGUGCUUAUAUUAUAGGAACGGUCAUUGAAUUAUUAUCUGAAUUGAAGUAAGUGAGGGUUAUUUUACUGAUAGAUAAAAUCUCCAUUUCAUGAUUUUUAUUAUUUUAAAAUUCACUUUUGGCUGUGCAUUUCCCAGAGCUCUUCCCAGAGCUUUUAAAUUAGUUUUGUACUUUUAAAUCAUCCACGAAAAAGCAGCACCUUAUAAUUUCAAGGGGGGGGGGAGACAGUACCCGAAUAUAAACCGCUCUCUUGAAAUUCCACAGGCACUCACAGCCUUAAAUGGCAAAUAUAGAAGAAAAUACUAUGGGUACCACAGAGGCCCCACAAGGUACUACAGAGGACCCGCAAGUGGGUUAAAAACCUUUUUCGUAGCACCGUAAAAGCAAAUAAAAAAAUCAAUACCCUGUUACCUUGGUUGUCGAACUUAAUGUGUUCCAGGAGCCCAUUCUGCUUCUGAAACAUUCAACAACCAAGGCUCAAUGGUCGGCAAGCCCCAUUGAGAAAAAAGAGAAACAUGAUCCAAGGGAAAAGGGAGAGAGUGCACCUCUCCUUGUGUAUAUAUGGCCCGGCAAAGGCAAAUGGGAGGAGGGGAGGCUGAGGAGGGGUGGUCCUGCUUGCCCCCAAAUCUGUUGCAGGCAGGGGAAAUGACUGGGAUCCAGGAUCAUCCAACCUCGUGAAGGGGAUGAGUCAUUGAUGGCAGGGAGGGGAAGGAAGGGCACGCCCCCACGCAGCUCCAUGGAAUGAGAUGGGGCAAAUUCCACUUCCAAAAUCUGGGAGCCUCCCUCUUGAAUUCCUAGCCAGGCUUUUGGACCCCUGCUGCAUCCAUAAGGAAGAUGGAGGGAGGAAGGGAUCCAGGUCUGUGCGGUUGUGGGAACUUAUGUCCAAAAAGAACCUGUGGUGGCAUGGAAGGAGGAUUGAGAGGAGAUGCCAUCUGACACACACCUGCCCCUGCCCCAUAAUUAAAACUGAAAUGGCUAGUGUGGCAAGGCACAUUGAGAAAAAAGAGAAACAUUUGGAAAUGGAAGCAGUUGCUUCCGGGUUGUUAGAGUUCGGGAGCCAAAAGUUUCAGCUUCUGAGAUGUUUGGCUUCCAAGGUUCCACUAUACUGCACUGUAAAAUAAGGUAAAAGCAAUGAAUGACAUUAGAAUUAAUUGCACAACAGUCUCAAGCUCACAAAUUGGCAAUAAAACAUUUUUUGGUUCCGUUUUACCAUAUGACUGUUCCAGCAGCAAUAUUGUAAAAACCAAUUUUUAUAACGUCGUGAAUUUAAGUCACACUUAAAAUUUUCAUGGUCAGAAUUUCGGGGGGGGGGGGACUGCGGCUUAUAUUUGGGCCAAUACGGUAAGUCAUAGGGCUCCCUCUUCUGGUGGUUUACCCUUAGUUUGACUCUGUGCAGACGGGCAGGAGUCAAGAUAUAGUUGGGCUUCAGCAAAUGCCUAAGCCGAACCGCUCACAUCUGUAACCAAUAAAGUUGUUGCCUGUUUUAGUCCCUUAACCUAAAUACACGUGUCUCUGUGUUAACAACAACAACAACAACAACUUAUUAUUUAUACCCCACCCAUAUGGUUGGGUUUCCUCAGCCACUCUGGGCGGCUUCCAACAAAAGAUUAAAAAUACAUUAAAACAUCAGCCAUUAAAAACUUCCCUAAACAGGGUUUAUUAAACAAUAGGGAACUACAGGACAUGGGGCCUUGGCACGUAAAGCAUGAGACUUAAUCUCAGGGGUAUUGGUUUGAGCCCUAUGUUGGGCAAACGAUUCCUGCAUUGUAGGAGAAUGGACUAAAUAACUCUUGUGGUGUGGUCCCUUCCAGCUCUACAAUUCUAAGAUUCCUCAGAAAAUCCCCAGAACUCUACUCAAAGACUGCCCUUCCACCUCCUAGGGCAGUGCCUACAGGACAAAAGGGGUUGUGCUCUGGGCACUCUAAAGGGGACUUCAAUACUCAAAUUAUAUAAGGGGUCAGUGAAUUAUAAUGUGAAUGGAGGUGAUUCAGGGUGAUUUUGCUGGAAGUUAAAAGCUUCAUUUAACUUUUUAGUUUUAUUUCUUUAAAAACCAAUAUGGGAUGGGGGCUUCCCGGAGCUCUUUAACACCUUUUUAUUGUUAUGCUUUUUGGAGGAUGGCCCUUUCCAGUAGAUAUGAAGUGGCUAAUGCUAUGCUAAGAAUAUGUGUAAGAAGGAAAACACAGGAAUCUCUGAAAGUUGCUAUAUUUUGCUUCUCCCAGUUCCUCCAGUAUAAAAUGUUGGUAUAACUAUUUUGAUUAAUAUGCUCUUUUAAAAAAUAUGUUUACUGUACAGUUUAAUGAUUGGUGUUCAGAUGACAUUGAUUUACUGUGCAUUGUAAUUACAUGCGGCUAUAUCGUAUCAUGGUGACGCGGGUGGCGCUGUGGGUAAAACCUCAGUGCCUAGGACUUGGUCGGCGGUUUGAAUCCCCGCGGCGGGGUGCGCUCCCGCUGCUCGGUCGCAGCGCCUGCCAACCUAGCAGUUUGAAAGCACCCCCGGGUGCAAGUAGAUAAAUAGGGACCGCUUACCAGCGGGAAGGUAAACGGUGUUUCCGUGUGCGGCUCUGACUCGCCAGAGUAGCUUCGUCAUGCUGGCUACGUGACCCGGAAGUGUCUGCGGACAGCGCUGGCUCCCGGCCUCUAGAGUGAGAUGAGCGCACAACCCUAUAGUCUGUCAAGACUGGCCCGUACGGGCAGGGGUACCUUUACCUUUAUAUCGUAUCAUUGGUUUUGUACUUAAGUCAUUUGGGCGAAUAAUGCCAGCACUGAUCAUGUGUAUGUGGAUACACAUACAAACACAUUUUUAUAGAUAUUUGUUCUAAACCAUUUAAAUGCUUGGGAUCCGCACAAGGAGGAAUCAUCAGAGUUGAUAACUGUGCCCUCAUUCAAGUUAGGAUUCCACUGACCAGUUAAACAGGAAUUGUUUUAAUCGACCAAAGUGAGAACCAAGUUGAAAUGGAAUGCAUAUAAGAAUUUAAGGACAGAUGUUUGCUCAAGCAAGUAGACAUCACCAAUUUCUUAUAAAAUCCCUCCCACCAGCAUUUCAAAUGAACUGCAUACACAAGCAGAAAAAACAAAAUAUGCACUCAUGUUCUUUUACUUUUUUCUGCUGAUUAGUUGUUCCCUGGUGUUCAACUCAGGUCUGAAUAUAAUAAUGUAGCAUUUAGGGGAAAAGAUGCAACCCAGUAAUCCAGCACCAGACGACAAGAUGGAAAAGAUCUCCACAGCUACCAUAUAUUUUCCUUUGGUGCUCAGAUAAGUGGAAACAAAGGACAACCAAACACUACAAAACACCAGCAGGCUGAAAGUGAUAAAUUUGGUCUCAUUGAAACUGUCAGGUAACUUCCUGGCAAGGAAAGCCAAGAUGAAGCUGACAAUGGCCAGCAAACCCAUAUAGACUAAGACACCAUAAAACAUGGCCACUGAACCCUCAUUACAUUCAAGUAUGAUUUCGCCAUGCAGUGAGUGCAUAUCUGUAUCUGGGAAUGGAGGGGAUGUACUUAACCAAAGAGUACCUAUGCAAGCCUGAAUAAAGGAGCAGAAAAGGACAAUAGCAUUUGCCAGCCUUUUCCCUAUCCAUUUCCUCAUCCUGGAUCCUGGUUUGGUUGCCAUGAAUGCCAGAAGCACAGUAAUGGUUUUUGCCAAAACACUGGAAAGGGCCACAGAAAAGAUGAUGCUAAAAGUGAUUUGUCGGAGAAGGCAGGUCACCUUUCCAGGCUGUCCAAUGAAGAGAAAGGAGCAGAGGAAACAAAGCAGGAGGGAGAUGAGGAGGAUAUAGGUGAGAGUCCGAUUGUUGGCUUUGACUAUGGGAGUGUUAUUGUGCUUUAUAAAAGUCCCAAGUACUAAUGUUGUGAUCAGAGAGAAGAUAAUGGUCAAGAUAAUGGUCAAGAGUCCUAAAUCUUCUUUAUAAGAGAGGUAGCUUGGGACCUUGGGAAUGCAUUGGGUUUGGCCACUCUUGGGAUACUCAUCUUCUGGACAUUUCACACAGGUAUCCAUAUCUAAAAUAAAAGAAGAUCUCUUUAAAUAUUUCUGACAUUGAUCAAUAUAUAGCUAAAGCAUUGGUUCUUAAACUUUUCCGGGUUAUAGACCUCCUUAAGGAUCAUAGAAGCUGUAUUGCAGGUUAUCAAAUUGGAGAAAACAUAUUGGUGAAAUUAUCCUCAAAAUGUAGGUUUGUGUAAAAUAAACUCCAAGACUAAGUUUCCACGAGUGCAGGCUUUUCAGUGUUUCUGAGGAACAAAUGUUCCACAAUGAGUGCUCACAUCUGAUAUUGGAUAUGCAGAAAGAUUAUAAAAAUCUAUUAAAUGAAACAAUAUUAAAAGCACAGUAUUAUUUUGAAAUGCCAGAAGGUGCACUAGGAAAAGGUUAUUUUGGAUAUCGGAAAUGGAAAGUUCUUGGAAUGACGGUCAGUGACUAUGGAACUACCUGGAAAGGCAUUGUGGCGUUUGCCCUCCUAGGUGUGUGACAUCAUACUGGGUUCAUAAGGAAAGAGUUAACUAAUUGUAAAAUGACUAACCAAUGGGAACCCAAGCUUGGAGUUAAGAGUUACAGUUAGAGUUGUUGAGAAGACAGUCUGGAGUUAGAAGAGACAGAGAGGAUAAGUCUGUGGGUUGGGCUAGUCUGAUGUAAGCGAGUGAGAGAUUUUGUUAAGAGGAGUCAGUCAAUCAGUUGAGAUAAUCAGUCAGAAGGUAUUAGAAAGGUAUAGGCCGGUAAAGAAACUAGAGUUAAGAUACUAACAGGAAUAUUAUCUGAGAAAUCAUAAACUUGUUAAUGUUUAUAAAAUAAACUUGUUUUUUUGGUUCACAUUUUAACAACUGUCUGGACUCAGUGUUUUACCGGAGAGUAAGGGGUUGGUGGCAGCAGGAAAGUGAGCACAGUGGUGGCACAGGGAUCAAUAGACCAUUCAACGUCCGGGGACCCUUUGUGAUCGCCACAGGCAUCCUUACACCAACCCUUUGAGGUUGCUUAGACUGAGAGAUAGUGAUGAACACAAAUUUACUCAGUCCCACACUCUUUGAAACUCUUAAAAAUUAAUAGUUAUGUUUUUAAUUUUUGUUUAAAAUUUUGCAUUGCAAGAUACCUCCAUAUGCAUUCAAGAGGUUACACUUAAUGGUGUAACUCCCACCUUUAUACUUAGAUAUCAUCCCUUCUGGACAUGGAGUACAAUCAUAGCAGCAAAAUUUCUCUCCUUCCUUCUUUCUCCUACUGUACCCAGGAUAGCAGUAGUCAUUGCACACAGAAAGUGGAAGCACCUGUACAGAAACACUAAAGAGAGGUUAGUAAUGAGAGCAUAAGAGAUCACACACAAAAGCAGGUUUGGAGAAGAAAGGACAACUCCCAACUUAGAGCAGGGAGGGUUCACCUCUCUGGUGUUGUCUAGUUAAGAUUUACGUGUGGAGAGGACUUUGUAUGUUUCAUUUUCUGUUCCAGUUUUUUGUUUUUGUUUUCAUUGGCUAGAUUGUGUCCUUGAACUUUUAUAUUGCCACCUCACUGCAACUACAGAGAGAUGUAUGUUUGGUAGUGUACAUAGAACCUAUAGUUUUGAAAUAGGUGGAUAUACCUCCCUAAAAUAUGGAAAUAUCUAUUAAAAUGAAAAGGGUCCAUUAAAGUUAAUACAGUGAUGCCUCGGGUUACAUACGCUUCAGGUUACAUACGCUUCAGGUUACACACUCCGCUAACCCAAAAAUAGUGCUUCAGGUUAAGAACUUUGCUUCAGGAUAAGAACAGAAAUAGGGCUCCGGCGGCAUGGCAGCAGCAGGAGGCCCCGUUAGCUAAAGUGGUGUUUCAGGUUAAGAACAGUUUCAGGUAAAAACGGACCUCCAGAAUGAAUUAAGUACUUAACCUGAGGAACCACUGUAUGUAGCCCCUUAACCCGAAAUCUAUUCAUGAAAUAAACAAUUUAUUUAUUAGGGGAGAUGUAAAAAGAGCAUAUAAUAGGAAUUCAUGAAAAUUUGAACUAGAAUAUAAUAAUUUUUUCACAAAGGUUAAUGAAAUAAUAAAACAUCCUGUGGGAUUUCACAAAAAAUAAAGUUGGAAUGUAGUUAGAUGCCUUCAAAUCCUUUGAAAUUUUUAGUGAAAACAUUCCACAGAACUGUGUCUCACCUGAUUAAAAACUUUAUGCCACACAAUUUGAUCAUUAUUUAUGCUUAACUCUUUUCCUAAAGGUGCACGAGGGUCCAAUUUUCCAACUUUGAUCCUAAACAACGAACCAUUCGGAGAAAUAAUCCAGUUUGUUACAUCAAAACCUGUAACUAAUUCUCCAUUAUAAUCAAAACACACUAAAGCCCCAGCACUAUUGUUGAACAACAUGGUCCUUAGAAAAUGAUGGACCUAGAUAGAAAGAAAGUAUCAACAAAGCAACGACUGUUUCAAAAUACUUCAACAAUGUAUGCGGCCACUUCAUCUAUUGGGCACUCAUGUCUUAUUAUUGAACUGUAAACCUUAAAUGAUUAUUUGAUAUUUAUAAUAAUCAUUAUUUUCCAUAUGCACCAAGUUGGUGGGUGACUAUGAACUGAAAUAACAAUAUUUUAUCAUGGGAUCACUACUACUUAUCAUAAUGGAUUUCCAAAAGGGGAAAAACCUGAGAGGAAAUGCAAACCACCACAGGCACACAAAUUGUAUCAUGCACACUUAGAAUUCAUUGUGCUUCUUGAAGAACACAUAGUUUUUUAAAAAAAUGUUUGGUUGUAAUUACCUGCCAUGAUUGCACAUUCUGAAAAACAGUUCCUGUCGUUCUCCCAGCUUCCUACCUUUGGAACUGGAUUUGUAAACGGCUUGCAAAGCAUGAGCCACAGCAUAGACAGCAUUGUAGACAUUGUAGCUGUGGCCAGUCAUUUCCAUUUCAAACAAGGUCCCAGGAAGACUCUCCACCUUCUCUCCUCCAGAGCAGUAUUUCCUUUCCUGAUGAUGCCCAUUAGCCAUUUGUAAUGAACAGUUGAAUGCCUGUUCCCAAAAGUCCUGGAUAAAACCGUCUCCUUGGGCCCAUGAAGGUCUUAGCAUCUGAAGGAAAUUUUGGAAUCCCAAUGGCUGAUCUGAGUGAAGUGUGAAGGAUAUGGAACCAUGGAAGGUUUGUAAAUCCCAAAUCUUUUGAAUAGAGUGUGAUGCAAAAUCCCAGUGGGAUGUAAUAAUCCACACUUUACCCAGAGGGGGCAAGUUCACCAAGGGUAUAACAAAAAAUAGUGUUCUUAGAACUUGAAAGGAUGGAGGUUCCCCAUAUACAAAGAAUACAUUGGCUUUUGUUUCAAACAUAAUGAGAUAGGUAUCCAUGUUCUUUAAAAACCAGUCUAGCAUCUCAUCCAUAUAACUCCAUUUUGGUAUGUUUACUAUGAAGUCAUAACAGAUGCCAUUCUGGGUAAGCAUUGGCACUAUUGUCUGUAAAAACCUGUUCCCUUUGUCAUCAUCCACUGCAAAAAGCCCGACCCAGGUCCAUCUGAAAUGCUGAAGUAACUGCACAAUUCCCCUGUGCUGCUGGGCUUCAUUGGGGACCAUCUGGUACAAGAAUGGGAAUAGCAUUCUUGUACUUUGUAAGGGUAAAAAAGAUCCAUAAGUGAGCUGUAAUAAAAUCCAUGAAUAUUUCUCAGAUGGAUUACAAGAGAAUAGUAAAUCAAUAUGUUUCAGUUGGUCCUGUAAGCAAUCUAGUUCAAUAUCCUUUUGAAAGCCAGAAUCACAGUUUCUGCAACAAAUGGCUGUUUGAUUUGUCCUAUCAUUGAAGUAAUUUUACUUCAGUUGUUGAAUCUUAAACAAGUACCACAUUUGGGGCAGCACAAAAUGAAUCUUUGACCUCUUCUGUGUGGCAACUGUUUAAGUCUUUGAAGUGUUUUGCAAUGUUGCACCUUGAACUCAUUUUCAAGAGACGCAUUUCUUUCACCCUUUCCUAUAUGAUAUGCUUUCCAUAUUCUGGCCAUAUUUACUGGCCUCCUAUUAACCCAUUUUGAAAUUAAUGCAUUCUUAUUUAAGUGUGCCAAUUAGGACGGGAAACAGUAUUCAACAUGUGGCCUUAACUAGUGCAAAAGGAAGCAUAAUUGAAAUUUUUGGAGAUUUGAAAACAAUGGGUUGUAUCCAGUUAAAUGUACAUCCAGUUAGUUGUGUUGAAUAAUUUGACUGAGUUCAUUUUAAGAAUAUUAGUAUUGAAUCCAGCUCCUUGGUUCUUUCAAUUCAGCCUAAACUUUAAUUUAUCUGUUUACAGGCACAUCACAAAGCUCACAUAUAUCUAAUGUUCAUACCCCUAUGCACAUAGAUUACCUGUGGAGUCUUGUAAAUUGCUGAAACGGUGGCCACAUUGGCAGAGAUUCCAGAGAGGCAUCCUCCAACAAUAGCUAUCAGUUUGUUCUGAUUUUGACACUUGAAGUUAGGAGAAAAUCUUUGCUGUUUUGAAAGCAGGCUUAGAGUGGCCUUAUAGGUCAUCCUAGCAGAGUAGUAGCUAUUGAGAAUGUGGAAUCCCAGAGAAAUGUUUGGUAAGAUGUUGGGGUUCUCAUUUAUCUCUUUUACAGCAAAGGCUAAGGCCAGGAUGUGCUGGUAGUUCUUGGGCACUGAACUGUAAUGUAGGUUACAGCUAUUUAAUAAAACAACAGUGACAAAAGCAAUAAAAACACAUUUGUAUUCUUCAU